AUUCACUAAAACCAUGUGUCUGAACUGAAGAAGCUUGGGCUCACUUCCACAAAUUAGGUAGCCUUGUCAGAUGAUAUGCAAAUGAUUCACAUCAGUGUUUGAAGUUCAAACCAAGGAAAACUGUGAGUAUACACAAAAUGUCAGAGUGUUUUUCUCUUGGCAAAGAAUGCUGGGAAUCUUACGAUUAAUUCCAUACAGUAACAACUCAGCAAGUGUUGGCUAAAAAUACUUGCUUUUACUGCAAAAGUACUAACACAAAUCUAAUUUUAAACGAUACAAUAAUUUUUACAUUUUCCCCUUCAGAGAGGUGAAAAGUAUUGUCAAGUUGAAUAAUCUGUUAAGCUAAAAUGACAAACUUUCACAGUGUUUAUUCUGUUUCCUCUUUUCCAAUAUUCUUUACAUAUCUUUGUCAGUAACCACUCAUUACAUUGUCUAAGACCAACGGAAUUGGCACAGAAGUGAAAAACAGAGAAGAAUUAUCAUUUUAAGCAGCAACUGAUGUUCAUUGGGGAUUUAUGUUAUUUCAAUAUUUACAACAAUUUUUUAAAAAAGCUUUAUUGAGAUAUAUUUCACGUAUCAUUGUAACCACUUUUUGAAGACAAUAUUUU
rnacentral:lncRNA from 1 species